rnacentral:lncRNA from 1 species
CCCACGACGUUGCUGAACAUCAAAUCCUCCAGGUUUUGUACGUACACUGUAGCCUUUGAAUGGAAGAAAAUAUCAUCAAUCAAUAAACAUAUAGUGAGAAAAAUAGUUUGGAAGUAAUGUAUAUGCUUUUAGAGGGACUGUGUCAACAGGAUAGAUUCAGGCCGAUAACUCUGGCACCAUUACUAUGCAACCAGCUGUGUACGUUUCUGAAUGCUUGCUGAUACAUUUUGCUAUUUUCUGCCAGAGCCAUAGCUAUAUUUGUAGUAGACAAGUACAGUCCUUCAUUUAUUUUUGCCCUAGAAAAUACACAUUAAGCAUGUGGUUUUGGGUUAGCAAACAAAGCCCCCAAAUGCUAGCUAGCUACCUAACUUGCAAAUGCAGGUUAUAUCUUUGUGCCGAGUUGUCCAGGUAGCUAUCUUUGUUCAGGUAGUUGUUAGCAAGGUAGCUAGUUAACGUGAUCUUUGCUCAUUAACAUUUAGUAAUUUAGCAGACGCUCUUAUCCAGAGUGACUUACAGUUAGUGUAUUCAUCUUAAGAUAGCUAGGUGCAAAUAUACAGUGGAAGUCGGAAGUUUACAUACACCUUAGCCAAAUACAUUUAAACUCAGUUUUUCACAGUUCCUGCAAUUUAAUCCUAGUACAAAUUCCCUGUCUUAGUUCAGUUAGGAUCACCAUUUUAUUUUAAGAAUGUGAAAUGUCAGAAUAAUAGUAGAGAGAAUGAUUUAUUUCAGCUUGUAUUUCUUUCAUCUCAUUCCCAGUGGGUCAGAAGUUUACAUACACUCAAUUAGUAUUUUGUAGCAUUGCCUUUAAAUUGUUUAACUUGGGUCAAACGUUUUGGGUAGCCUUCCACAAACUUCCCAAAAUAAGUUGGGUGAAUUUUGGCUCAUUCCUCCUGACAGAGCUGGUGUAACUGAGUCAGUUUGUAGCCACAGGUACACCUCCAGUUGACUCAAAUUAUGUCAAAUUAUGUCAAUUCGCCUAUCAGAAGCUUCAAAAGCCAUGACAUCAUUUUCUGGAAUUUUCCAAGCUGUUUAAAGGCACAGUCAACUUAGUGUAUGUACACUUCUGACCCACUGGAAUUGUGAUACAGUGAAUUAUAAUUGAAAUAAUCUGUCUGUUAACAAUUGUUGGAAACAUU